UACGAGGGGUGCAAGCGUUGCUCGGAAUUAUUGGGCGUAAAGGGUAGGUAGGUGGUCUCAUUUGUCAGAGGUGAAAGCCUUGGGCUUAACCCAAGAAGUGCCUCUGAAACGGUGGGACUAGAGUCCUGGAGAGGGUCGUGGAAUUCCCGGUGUAGCGGUGAAAUGCGUAGAGAUCGGGAGGAACACCAGCGGCGAAGGCGGCGGCCUGGACAGGAACUGACACUCAACUACGAAAGCGUGGGGAGCAAACAGG
rnacentral:rRNA from 1 species